UAAGGAAUAUUGCGCAAUGGAGGAAACUCUGACGCAGCGACGCCGCGUGAGCGAUGAAGGCUUUCGGGUCGUAAAGCUCUGUCGGGAGGGACGAAACACGAUGUGGCUAACAUCCAUAUCGCUUGACGGUACCUCCAGAGGAAGCACCGGCUAACUACGUGCCAGCAGCCGCGGUAAUACGUAGGGUGCUAGCGUUAUUCGGAAUUAUUGGGCGUAAAGAGCGUGUAGGUGGUUUUGUAAGUCGGAUGUGAAAGCCCUGGGCUUAACCUAGGAAGUGCAUCCGAAACUACAUGGCUAGAGGACGGCAGAGGGAAGUGGAAUUCCUAGUGUAGAGGUGAGAUUCGUAGAUAUUAGGAGGAAUACCGGUGGCGAAGGCGGCUUCCUGGACCGUUCCUGACACUGAGACGCGAAAGCGUGGGUAGCAAACA
rnacentral:rRNA from 1 species